rnacentral:rRNA from 1 species
CCUACGGGAGACAGCAGUGAGGAAUAUUGGUCACUGGCCGGCCGGAUGAACCAGCCAUGACACGUGAAGGUCAGUGCCCUAUGGGCGUUAAACUUCUUUUGUGCGGGAGCAAUAAUGGUCACGUGUGGCCAGACGAGAGUACCGUACGAAUAAGCAUCGGCUAACUCCGUGCCAGCAGCCGCGGUAAUACGGGGGAUGCAAGCGUUAUCCGGAUUUAUUGGGUUUAAAGAGUGCGUAGGCUGUGAGGUAAGUCAGCGGUGAAAUGCCCCCGCUCAACGGGGUGAAGUGCCAUUGAUACUGCCUGGCUGGAAUGCGGAUGCCGUGGGAGGAAUGUGUGGUGUAGCGGUGAAAUGCAUAGAUAUCACACAGAACACCGAUUGCGAAGGCAUCUCACGAAUCCGCGAUUGACGCUGAUGCACGAAAGCGUGGGUAUCAAACAGGAUUAGAUACCCUUGUAGUC